rnacentral:rRNA from 1 species
UGUGUAUCAGUACAUGGCAUAUCAAUAAGCGGAGGAAAAGAAACUAACUAGGAUUCCCUCAGUAACGGCGAGUGAAGCGGGAAGAGCUCAAAUUUGAAAUCUUCAAGGUUCUACCUUGACGAAUUGUAGUUUAAAGAAGUGUUUUCUGUUGGAGUUUUCGGUAAAAGUUCUUUGGAAUAGGACAUCAUAGAGGGUGAGAAUCCCGUAUUUGACCGUUACUUUCCAGCUGUGUGAUACACUUUCAAAGAGUCGGAUUGUUUGGGAAUGCAGUCCAAAGAUGGGUGGUAAAUUUCAUCUAAAGCUAAAUAUUGGCGAGAGACCGAUAGCGAACAAGUAUCGUGAGGGAAAGAUGAAAAGAACUUUGAAAAGAGAGUUAAACAGUACGUGAAAUUGUCAAAAGGGAAGCGUUUGACACCAGUGUUGUUUAGUUGAAAAUCAAUUCAAUAGUUUUUGAUUCUAAGUAGUAUUGACUUCAUCAGCUUGCUGCUUUCUUCUCAGAAAUUAUUGAAUGCACUUUUCAGUUAACAAGUCAACAUCAAUUUCUUUUGUUGUAAAAGGGUAAGAGGAAGGUGGCUUGCGCUUCGGCUCAAGUGUUUAUAGCCUUUUAUCUCUGCAAUCGGAGAGAUUGAGGUCUGCAGCGUAGAUCCUUCGGGGUUAGAUACAUUGGUGCUAAGCUAUAGCCUUGUAUAGACAAUUUGUUGACUAUGCUCAGUCAUGUAGCUUACUCGCUGAUGCUAUUUUACCUACGCUUAGGAUGUUGACAGCAGUAUAGACUGU